rnacentral:ncRNA from 1 species
CGAACUUAUGUUUAAAUCGGUCUCGUGAUGGCCCUCGCGGGUGUUGACGCAAUGUGAUUUCUGCCCAGUGCUCUGAAGGUCAACGUGAAGAAAUUCGUAAAACGCGGGUAAACGGCGGGAGUAACUAUGACUCUCUUAAGGCAUUUUCUGUCAUCUUAAUGCACCAAAAGAAACACG